UCAUCCUAUUUUUUGCAUACAUCCUUCAAACCCUCAAAUUAUCCUUCUCAAUUACCAAACCAUAAUGGCACAACAAGGGUGUGAUAACUCAUCCCUUGACGAUGACAAUCAAGCUAUGGUGACGACGACCAGUGCACGAGGAAUGACAAAGAAUUCAAGGGAAGAAAGUCACAAAGGCUAAACAUGGUGGCACAUCAUCAAGCCAAAAACGCAUUCCAAGAGAUAGGGUUAGUGGAAGGAACACUGUUGCCAUUCAACUUUGGUUAGUGACAUUCCCACAAUCAUCUUUGGUGCGGAUGUUACCCAUCCUCAACUUGGGAAGGACAGCAGUCCGGUAAUUGCCGAUGUAAGUUCACUCGUAAAUUCAUUGUGCUAGGGAGCAUUUCAGAGCAUUUUGACAAGAAACUGGCCGAAAACCAGAGAGAAUUGUCCUCUUCAUGAGGGAUAUCUGCCACCAGUUGCUUUUGUUGUGGUACAGACUGAUAAGAGUGGCAAUUUUUAACUAUGUUACAAAUUUUAGAUGCAUUAAGAUAUAAUGCAUUUGAUGCUUUUCCGUUUUAUGCAUUGAGAUAUUGUAAAUUUGAUCUUUUUUCAUUUUUUGCUUUAACUAUCAUUACCUUGUCCGGCACUGUUGCUGACACCCAUAUUUGUCAUCUGAGGGAGUUCGGCUUUUAUCUCAACGGUCAUGCUAGCAUUCAGGUAUUAUUUGUGUUGUUGAUUUAAACAUGCCAGUUUCGUUUUUGCUGUAGUUUCCUUGCCCUCUUAUGAUGAUGUAUUUGUGUUCUAUUCACUGCUAAAUAUAAAACCUUAAGUUAUGGUUAUAGUUCAAAUUGCUAUCUUCUAUUCGUGUGGGGAAAUAACAGGUAUGCACACUACCAUGUCUGUAUUAUGAUUUUCAGUUAUAAGGGAACUAUCCUUAUUCUUAUCAUAAGGCCUUAUUAUAUCAUGAUGGAGGCAGAUUCUCAGUUCAGACUAAUAAUGAGACUCUCUUAAUAUCUUCGAAGAUAUGUAGUUUGAGUGAACGCUCGAUCACCAAAUCAUCUAUAUGAGGGAACAAAUUUGAAACUAGCAGGUUGGUUAGUUAUAUGAGCCCAAAUGCUAACAUAGAUAGAAUAACCCACAAUGUAUAGUUAAAGCAUGCAAUAGGUUUCAACAAGGAGGCAAUCUCUUUGAAGGGCUUCACCAAGUUGCUUGCACAGGCCCAACAACAUCUAUUAUCUACUAUCCAUGCGCAAGGCUGUCUAAAAACAUAUGGAUGCUAUAAGCGAAGAAAGUGGUGGUCAGCACUGAUUUAGGCAUGCAUGCCUCGACAAGUGAACAACUUUAUGCACUUCAAGAAUUGGCUUGUAGGUUUUUGUAUGACAGAAAGGAUAUUUGUUAUCAUAGAUAUCUUAAUAUGUCAAAGAUACUAAUCUCAUACAACGAACUCAUUGAAGAAUAGACGGCCCAAGAAAGUGAACUAGAGACGCUUUUUGUGGCGGCUUUCAGAGAUAGAAUCCCCCUUUAGGGUACACUUUGCAAACUACUUCCUCCUUCAUUACUUUGCCAAUUAAAAACUUCUACUCCACAUUUCGCAAUCGAUGAACAUCCAAGUUACCCUCAAGAAAGCAAAGAGUCUUAUCCGCAACCGACAUUCAUAAAUCUCAUUUCUUGUGAUGCAUAAUAAUCAUCCGAUCCAAAAUCACUCUAUAUACACUAAGAUAUUAUUGGAAAUACAUCAUCACCCAUAGUGUGUUGAGAUGGUAAAGACUGAGAAAAGUCGGACGUUCUCUCACAUUCUUGAGAGGAGGGUAUGUGAGACAUUGAUUGAAUUUAUAUCGAGUGACUUUGGAUAUGAUGAUUAUUAUAUCUUACAUGCAAUGAGAUUUGUGGACUUUGUGUCUGUAGAUAAGACUCUUUGCUUUUUUGAUGGGAAUUUUGAUGUUCAUCGAUUAUUAAGUGUGGAGGAAAAGUUUUUAAUUGGUGAAGUAAUGAAGGAGGAACUGGUUUGCAAAGUGUACCCUAAAAGGGAUAUGUACUCGAAUUUCUCAAAGCCGCUACAAAAAGUGUUUCGAGUAUAAUUUUUUGGGUUGUCUCUUCUUCAAUGGUUAGAAGCCAAGUAUCUCUGCGUAUUAAGAUGUUUAUGAUAAUAAAUCUCCUCUUUGUCAAACAAAAACCUAGGAGCCAACUGUUGGAGUGCUACUCACUUUCUGUGACAUUAAAUUCUAUUUGCUCACAACAUCUAUAUGUUUUCAGAUAACCCUGAACAUGGAUUCGCAAUAGUAUACAAUAAAUGUGAUUGAGCAUGUGCAAGCAAACAUGAUGAACUGAUUACAUGCUUUAACUGUAUCACAUGGGGUUGUUCUACUUAUGUGAGCAUUUGGAAAUGUAUGACUAACCAACACGUUGGCUUCAAAUUUAUUCUGCAUAUAGAUGCUCUGGUGCUUGAGCGUCACUUAAACUACACAUCUUCAAAGAUAUUAUGGGAAAGACAUCCUCACCCGUGGCGUAUUGAGAUAGUGGAGAGUGGAAAAAGUUAGUCUCACAUUCUUGUGAGGAGGGUACACGCUACACUCGGUCAAGUUUAUAUCAGGUGAUUUUAGAUCAAAUGAUUAUUCGUCAUGGCUGUAGAUGAUUUCUCAGUAGGAACUUUGAUGUUUGUCGACUGCAAAGUGUGGAAGUUCUUAAUUGGCGGAGUGAUGAAGGAGGAGCUGAUUUGCAAAGUCUGUUAUGGACUAGCGGAAAGAGAUUUGAUGAUGAGUCUGAGGAGGAUAACCCUCAAGAAAGUCUUUCAAGACUUGAAUUAUAAAACGUAACAGUACUAGCUGCAUGUUCCUCAAAAAAAAAAAAUUAAAAUAAAAAAAACAGCUCUAGGUUGUAUGAAGUGGCAUUCUCAAAAAGCAAUUCCAAAAGAGAAAUUCCACUUCACUCACUCAAGUCCUCAGGAAUGCAAUGCAUGUUAGGACUUUGUAUAAGUUGAAGCUUAACAACCUUGUUUCGUGAAGUUUCUAUGUGUGUAUGUUUCACUCAAUUUAUCCAUUGUUUCUUAUUUGGCUCUUUAAGCCUUCCAUUACUAUUUGUGUUGUUGAUUUAUAUAUGCCAAUUUUGCUUUUGCCGUA